CCCGUGGUUUUUACCUCUCACAUUGAGGGGGUUUUCCACGUUAAAAUCUUGGUGUGUUCUUGUUAUUGCUUUACUUGCUAUAUUUGUUUGUUAUAGUUGCUGCCAUAUUGUAUUGUGAGUGCUUCCAUAUUGUUCUUGUGUUGGACAUUUGUGUCGUUUCCGCUGCUAGGCUCUUUCAUACUAUUGGGUGGUCAGAUUACAACGUAUCACUACUGCUCCAUUUCUUGCAAGGUAAAAGAUUUGGUUCCUGCUAUCAUUCCCGACGAGAUCCAAAAUGCUCCUCGGGGAAGACAGAAGAAUCCUUCUCAGGAAGGACAGGAGAUUCCUCCUCGGGAAACACAGGUGGAAAAUGCUAAUCCAGCGAGUCGGCCAAAGAGAAGUAGAAAGGGAACACCCCAUAGAGCUCCUUUUUCCUAAGAGCCUCCAGUGGGACACAUCCUUGCAGGAUUGGAAGCAGUUUGAUUCAGUUUAUGUUAUCAAGAUAGUAAAUUUAUUAGUUGUGUUGCAUUUAGGUUCUGAAUUUUUUUCCUUUUAAUUCUUGUAAUUUUUUUACUUAAACUUCCUGAAGAUUAUCUUCUGGAAAAUGCUGAACCUGGAAUGCUGCGAGAAAGAAGAAAAGGAGGAAGAAGUUUAUGUUAUCAACACUUUUUUGAUGAUUUGAUGGCUGAAAUAAGAUAUAUGCACUCUUAUUAUGGUUAA